UGUACACGCUGUGACUAGCAUAUCAAUAAGCGGAGGAAAAGAAACUAACAAGGAUUCCCCUAGUAACGGCGAGUGAAGCGGGAAGAGCUCAAAUUUGAAAUCUUAAAGGGUUUCCCUUUACGAAUUGUAGUUUAAGGCAGUGUUUUCUGUUGAGGUAUUGGUAAAAGUUCUUUGGAAUAGGACAUCAUAGAGGGUGAGAAUCCCGUAUUUGACCUUUACUUUCAACUUUGUGAUACACUUUCAAAGAGUCGGAUUGUUUGGGAAUGCAGUUCAAAAUGGGUGGUAAAUUUCAUCUAAAGCUAAAUAUUGGCGAGAGACCGAUAGCGAACAAGUACCGUGAGGGAAAGAUGAAAAGAACUUUGAAAAGAGAGUUAAACAGUACGUGAAAUUGUCAAAAGGGAAGCGUUUGACACCAGUGUUGUUUUUCUGAAAAUCAAUUAAAGAACUGUUUAUGCUAAGUUGUUUAGACUUUAUCAGCUAUACUGUUUAGUUUUGAGCUUUUCUUUAAUGCACUUUUCAGUUAACAAGUCAACAUCAAUUUCUUUUGCUGUAAAAAAGCUUGAGGAAGGUGGCUUGAGAUUCGUCUUAAGUGUUUAUAGCCUCUUGCCUAUGCAGUCGGAGAGAUUGAGGUCUGCAGCGUAGAUCCUUCGGGGCUAAAUGCAUUCGUGCUAAGUUAUAGCAUUUUAUAGACAACUUGUUGACUAUGAUUUGUCUUGUAGCUUACUCGCUUAUGUUAUUUUACCUACGCUUAGGAUGUUGAGUCGUAGAGCACGCAG
rnacentral:rRNA from 1 species